rnacentral:rRNA from 1 species
UACGGGGGGGGCAAGCGUUGUUUCGGAAUUACUGGGCGUAAAGGGCUCGUAGGUGGCCAACUAAGUCGGACGUGAAAUCCCUCGGCUUAACCGGGGAACUGCGUCCGAUACUGGUUGGCUUGAGUUUGGGAGAGGGAUGCGGAAUUCCAGGUGUAGCGGUGAAAUGCGUAGAUAUCUGGAGGAACACCGGUGGCGAAGGCGGCUUCCUGGACCGACACUGACGCUGAGGCGCGAAAGCUAGGGGAGCAAACGGG